GUAGUCGGUAGGAGAGCUACUGCUAUCGCUAAUAGUCACUUGAGCUGCUUUAUUAAAAAAGUAAAAUUACUAUAAACUCACCUAAAAAGGUUCCAGUAAGUUCUGCAGGGGACUACUCACGGAAUCGAAUUCUUUGGCUGAGCGCCGACGCCAAGUAGCUGUCGGCGGUCCAAGCGUGCCGUACGUUCUGGCGCUGAGAACAGAAGCCGACCCGGUUCGCCUCCAGCAGGGCGUUGUCGUGACCCGACGCCGACCGGACGAACACUGUGUGGAAGAAGGAGGACGUGGGCGAGCAGUCCUUGAAGAUGAGCUCCACCCGGGGUCCUUUGCACCACCUAGUGGCAUCUUCAAGCAUUUCAGAGAUAGCAUCAAAACAGCGAAUAGGUACCCGCCGAAGCCCAGUGCCGCAAACACCGUAAGAAAGAGCAGCAGGACCACAGUGGCCAACAUGGGGAUGCCACCGCCCACCUUUCGAUCCUUCUGAGGCCAGACAGGUCCCAGCUGAUGCUGCUGAAGUUGCCGCUGACCUCUGUCCACGAAGAACACUUGUUGGAAGGGGUAGCUCUGGUCACAGCUCAUGAUGCCGUUUCCUCCAAAUGCGCCGCUUUGCAUAGCAUGUAUUUGCCGUCGUGCAUGUAACACAAGCACUCACAAAUUCCUCCCUCUUGCACGUAUGUCGUUGGUGUCUUCACACUCACGCUUUGAAAAAGCCUCAGGAUAUGAGUCACAAUCACCUGUCCUAAUUUGAGAGGACUGCGCCCCCCCCCCCCCUUUUUUUAUCAGUCACGUGGUCACUAAGUGGGGGAGUAAAAAGAUUGUUCUAAAGACUUUUAAAAUGUGAAACAAAAGAACAAAAAAGAUACUUUUACUAAUACAAAACAAAUUAGUGUUUUUUUUUAAUUUUAUUUUAUUUUUUUUAUUUUAUCCAAACAUAAGAAAGAUGUGCUUCUUUUUCCUGUCAAUUUAAUUUAUAAAAUAAGAAAAAAGAAAAAUACAACGUGUGUAAAUAUUGAUUAAUGGAUUGCAACAUAUGAAUCAAUAUUUAAAAUUUGAACAAAAUUACAAAUGUAAUUUUUUCUAAGAAAAAUAUGAAAGAAAGGACAAAAAUAGAAUAAAAAAAAAAUACAAUUUUAACCUUAAUUGGAGCAUGUCAUAGACCUUUACACAAGAAAAUUUUAAAAAAGCAAAUAUACAAAGUGUGAAAAAUGUUUUAAAAAAAGUAAAAAUGCACAAACUGUGUUCAUGUAUGUUUUUUUAAAGUCAAUUAAAAAAAAAAAUCUACAAAACUUAAUAAAUGCCUGAAAUGUAAGAAGUUAGAGAACAUAAAAUUAUAAAAUAGUGGAAGAUACAAUUAAAAGACGUAUUAAAAAGCUACUAAAUGUGAAAAAUUGUAAAAAGACAUAUAAAAUGUGAAAAAAUUUACAAAUUUAGGGAAAGAAAUUGAAAAACAUUGAACAACUCUACAGCAUUAGAAAAAAAAGUAAACUAAGUGUGGAAAAAAUAUACAAAAACAACCUUUUUUACAAUAUGAUUACCAGGUAAUCAAGUACAAAAUUAACUACGAGCACAAGGCUCACACCCUAAACGUCUGAUCAUCCCAACAUUAUUAACACAACUAAAAAGCACACAUGCCCUCUACCAGCUACCCCAAAAUAUCUUCAAUUAUUUUCAUGUAAUUAACCGAUCUUCAGACAAAAUAAAAUAAAAAAAUUGGGCUCCGGUUAUUGAUGCGAAUAAAUCCUUAGAAUAUAUCUACCUAAUAACGGAGGAAUAGUAAUUUCAGUUCAUCUCCUCCCCAAGAAGAACAACGAGAACAAAGUAAGCGAGAACUUGAGAAGCGAGAACUCAAAACAAACAAAAGAGUGUAUGUGUGUACAAAAUAAUAACCAGAAUGUGAAAAAUGUUUCUAAUACAGUAUUUUUUUUACAUUGUUUCAGAAUGUUGGUAAACAUCUGAUUAAUGUUAUGUAACUUUUGAGAGUCAGCCAGGCUGAUGUCACAGCCACGUGAUAAGCAAGAUAGAUACUCUGCAUGAGAUGUAACGGAAAUACGAGUCUCUCUUUUUCUCAGUUUGCCUAUCAAAAAAAAAAAAAAAAAAAAAAAAAAAAGAGGAACCACUUCCGGUGAGUUUCACUCCUACUCCUGAUUCAAACUGAAAGUCACUCCCACAGGAGCUGUGGGAAUGGCGAAAAAUGUCUUCCUCUGCUUGAAUCCCUAACGUAUAAAAACCAUCCUUUAUAAGGCCAACCCUGACUCAAAAUCUCACUUGAAAUAAAAAAAAUAUAAAUCUGAACAUUCAUCUUUAUUUAUUAAGAAGAAAUAUAUAUAGUGAGGACUGAGGAGCAUAAGCAUUUGCACCCCUUGUGAAGUUCAACCACUUAGAAAAUAGGUCUGAAAUUUCAAUCAUAGGUGCAUUUCCACUCAUAAGUAUUUGUACCCCUGUAAUUAGCAAUAAUUAUGACAUUAAAAGAGUUGUCAGUCUACCUUAAGAAAGUUCACCUUUACCCCAUGAGUAACC